CGUACAGUCAAGCCGGACAUUUGUGUUGUGGCUCUACAGACCAUAGAAAGAAAACGACAAGACGUAUUAAAGCUUAAAGUAACAUUUCCAUACUUUGAGUAAUGUACAUUUCUUUACAUUACUCGUUCCAAAGAUGACUUUGUUGACAAUUGUCUCGUUACAUUACACACGUGGAAAGGUGAAAAUAAGCCAGACGACAAGUUGCUGUGGACAUUGAACAGUUACUGAACACGGUCCCUGCUUAAAGACAACACAACACAUCUGAUCUGUUUGUGUGGCAGCCUCCGGUUUCCCAGGUGACGGUCUGAAUUUCCUGUUCAUGCCGGCCGUUUAAAGAUCUCACUCUUUGUGUUCGGCCUUAAACGGUGUGUUAUAGCAGUUUUAAAAUUGUAUUUAUUGAGUGAAUCUAACAUUGCAUUUCAUACCUAUUUUUUGUUUUCUAAUCAUUCCAAAAUGGUUAGCUUUGGAUGCUUUGCAUUGAAGUUUGUUUGAGAUUCACUAUUUCUGUGUGUGAACAUACUAACUUAAUUUUAAUAAACACUGUACAGAUACCUGAAUAUUUUUUUUUCUUCCUUUGUAUGCUAACUUUACUUUUUGUAAACGCUUUGAGCGCUGUGUAAACAGACCUAGCGUGUAGCUUGCAGAUGUGACUUUGUAAAUGUACUUAGCACUGCUGAGAUGGAGGCUGUAAAUACUGUAAGAAAUACUGUGAAAAGCUUACUGUACAGUGAUCCUUUACACCUGAGUGGGAGUGGCAAGAAGAUUUAUUUAACAGUUGUCAGUAAACAUUUCCAUUAAAAUGUAUAAAA